GGAUAACCUACCCUUAGGACUGGGAUAACCCUGGGAAACUGGGGAUAAUACUGGAUAGGCAAUUAUUCCUGUAAUGGUUUUUUGUUUAAAUGUUUUUUCGCCUAAGGAUGGGUCUGCGGCCGAUUAGGUAGUUGGUUAGGUAAUGGCUUACCAAGCCUUUGAUCGGUACGGGUUGUGAGAGCAAGAGCCCGGAGAUGGAACCUGAGACAAGGUUCCAGGCCCUACGGGGUGCAGCAGGCGCGAAACCUCCGCAAUGUGAGAAAUCGCGACGGGGGGAUCCCAAGUGCUAUUCUUAACGGGAUGGCUUUUCAUUAGUGUAAAGAGCUUUUGGAAUAAGAGCUGGGCAAGACCGGUGCCAGCCGCCGCGGUAACACCGGCAGCUCUAGUGGUAGCAGUUUUUAUUGGGCCUAAAGCGUCCGUAGCCGGUUUAAUAAGUCUCUGGUGAAAUCCUGCAGCUUAACUGUGGGAAUUGCUGGAGAUACUAUUAGACUUGAGAUCGGGAGAGGUUAGAGGUACUCCCAGGGUAGAGGUGAAAUUCUGUAAUCCUGGGAGGACCGCCUGUUGCGAAGGCGUCUGACUGGAACGAUUCUGACGGUGAGGGACGAAAGCUAGGGGCGCGAACCGGAUUAGAUACCCGGGUAGUCCUAGCUGUAAACGAUGCGGACUUGGUGUUGGGGUGGCUUUGAGCCGUCCCAGUGCCGAAGGGAAGCUGUUAAGUCCGCCGCCUGGGAAGUACGGUCGCAAGACUGAAACUUAA
rnacentral:rRNA from 1 species